rnacentral:rRNA from 1 species
GAGUUUGAUCGUGGCUCAGGAUGAACGCUGGCGGCGUGCUUAACACAUGCAAGUCGAACGGAACGCCAAGGAAAGAGUUUUCGGACAAUGGAAUUGGUUGUUUAGUGGCGGACGGGUGAGUAACGCGUGAGUAACCUGCCUUGGAGUGGGGAAUAACACAGUGAAAACUGUGCUAAUACCGCAUGACAUAUUGGUGUCGCAUGGCACUGAUAUCAAAGAUUUAUCGCUCUGAGAUGGACUCGCGUCUGAUUAGAUAGUUGGCGGGUAACGGCCCACCAAGUCGACGAUCAGUAGCCGGACUGAGAGGUUG